ACCUCAAAUCAGGUAGGAGUACCCGCUGAACUUAAGCAUAUCAAUAAGCGGAGGAAAAGAAAAUAACAAUGAUUCCCCUAGUAACUGCGAGUGAAGAGGGACAAGCUCAAAUUUUAAAUCUGUCAGGUACUACCUGGCCGAGUUGUAAUUUGAAGAAGCGUUUUCCGCGCGUUCUGGUCAGUCCAAGUCCCUUGGAACAGGGCAUCGUGGAGGGUGAGAAUCCCGUUCGGUUGACCAGGUGCGUUUUACGAUACGCUUUCAAAGAGUCAAGUUGUUUGGGAUUGCAGCUUAAAAUGGGAGGUAAAUUUCUCCUAAGGCUAAAUAACGGCGAGAGACCGAUAGCGAACAAGUACCGUGAGGGAAAGAUGAAAAGCAUUUUGAAAAGAAAGUCAAGUAGCACGUGAAAUUGUUGAAAGGGAAACGAUUGAAGUCAGUCGUACCGAUGGGCAUUCAGCCUCAUGAGUGCGAUCAUGUCGGGUUGUUGGGGAGCUUAACCGCCCUCGCGCUUGCGUGUUUGUGCCCUACGGGUUGUAUUUGGUCCGUAUGGGUAAGGUUAACACUCCAUUUUUGGGCCAUCCAUAAAUUGUCGGCGACAUGAAAUGUGGCUUCGAUCUCGUAUUGAAGUGUUAUAGCCUCUGGUAGAUGUGGUGACCGGGAUUGAGGAUUGCAACGAACCCUUCGGGCCACCUGUCUGGCCUCUGGUGGUCUUUUCGGUGCCGAAAGCGUGCUUACGGUCAUCGGAGUUGGCUGCCAAAAGGUUAGAACGGGUUGAUUUCGUUAAGGAUGCGCACGUGAUGCCUUUAAGCGCACCGUCGAGAAACUCGGACCCACGAGUCUAACAUGUGUGCGAGUGUGUA
rnacentral:rRNA from 1 species